AGAAUGCUCGCUUCGGGUGCGAGAGGUCCGGGGUUCAAGUCCCCGUGAGUCCCUGUUCGAUUCUGUUUUUGGCAGCCGUCCCGCGUACGACGUUCGCGGGAAACGGCAAGGAAGAGGCGCUUGGAAAUGGUCGCACUCGUUCCGCGCGGCAGACUUGCACCGUUCGACGAGACGCCCAACCUGCUUGCCACGAACGCACGUCCUUGCGUCCGUGCUCUACCCCUACCGGACUAUGGUGGGACAGGUUCACGUCCUUAACUCGGGCCUGCACACAAGAGGUUGGAGUCUCCGCGCACUGUCAUCAACACUCGCCUGUACUCGCUUCUGCUGCGACUGUUACCCGUUUCGCUCUCGUAUCUCUGGCUCAAAACGUCGGACUCUCUAGUUCCUGAAGCUGACUUGUCACAAAACCGGGCAUGGCGAUGGCAGCGUUCAUGUACCGAUUUCUUUGCUUCCAGCUGUUAACGACGCAAUUCAUGCUCAGGCAGCGCCGACAAAUUUUGGUCGCUUGCCAUCAGGAUCUUCACUUGAUAUAGCAUCGGUGCGCUCAUCGCAGCGGUGACACUUGACUGUGUUUGGUGUUCCCACAUGUCGAGCACAUCCGUCCUCCGGGGACGUCCCUGAUGCGCGUGAACGCCUGCUCCAUCGCCCGGCACAUGUGCCUGUGGCGGGUACAGGAGGCUCCGCUCGAUGCUGGCCUCCGAUUCCGCGCCUGUUGCGGUUACCAACGAUCACGGGCAACAGCAGCGCGAUCCUUUCGGCGGGUACGCUGCCUGCUGCACACGCAAGCGCAUCCUAUUCAAGUUACUAGAUGAUUUGCGGAGUACCGUCUUGUCCUUGAUGAAGAAUACACCGGAAGGAAAAUCCAGGCUGCAAAACAACUCGAGAAUUCUCUGUCUGUGUAUACGCCUAUAUGCAAAGCCGUGACGCAUGCUCCACUGGAAGCGAUCGCUCCGAUGACUCAAGUCGGAGUCGAAGACACUUUUCCAUUCAAACAGGAGAGAUGGGGGCCUCAGGGAGCAUACAAUCCGUACUUGAUGCCAUGCUGCUGUCGAAUGCGGUUCUCUGAAUGCUCACAAACAGCGAUGGAUUUGUCCUUUAAGUGGAAUCGAUUAUUUGGCGUCGCAUAUUCAGUGCAGUUUCGGAAUGCGCCUGUGAAGAAGUCCCCAAUGAAAGUACUUGAUUUUUUGGUAUUCAAUCCAGCGGUGCCAAGCGCAGUGCCCACGAGCUGCUUUGGCACAGAAUGGUCGAAGAUUCAAGAAGAAUCGUAGAUUUGAGCAUGGGAUGUGCAAGGAAAGUGCAGUAGUCUAGGCUAGAGCGUGUGAAUUGAAUGCUAAUGUCGAUUGUAUUGGGAGCUCGUGCUCGAGGUAGUGGCGAAUCGAUCAUCUUACUUUCGUUGAAGCACCGAAUUCCAGUGGCAGAGCUUCAAAGGAACCAGUAGGAACCAACGACGGAGCUUCCUUGAACUAGCUGUAAAUCCGUAGGCGCUCA